rnacentral:lncRNA from 1 species
UUUGAAUGAUGUUUUCUUCUGGACUUCUGUUCUCUAAGGAAUUAUCAAGAUCUUUCAUAUUUUCUUAUGAGCUUUGUUCUUGGUCUUUCAAUAUGAUAUCGUAUCUUGGAUUUCUCUAUUUUGGAUUCCUCUAUCUUGGUUUUCUUAUCAUCUUUAUUCUGUUAUUUGUCAAGCAUGACUUAUAUAAAGUGUGUUCUUCAACUUAUGAUGACUAUUUCAAACAUGAUUAUGCUUCUGGUUUACUCGUAAAACGUGAUGAUUCUAGUAUCUGGGCUUC